rnacentral:rRNA from 1 species
UACAGAGGUCUCAAGCGUUGUUCGGAUUCAUUGGGCGUAAAGGGUGCGUAGGCGGCGCGGUAAGUCGGGUGUGAAAUCUCGGAGCUUAACUCCGAAACUGCAUUCGAUACUGCUGUGCUUGAGGACUGGAGAGGAGACUGGAAUUCCCGGUGUAGCGGUGAAAUGCGCAGAUAUCGGGAGGAACACCGGUGGCGAAGGCGGUUCUCUGGGCCUUACCUGACGCUGAGGAGCGAAAGCGUGGGGAGCGAACAGG